CCCUGAGAGGAUCAGCAUCUUUGCUGUGUACAGAGUGAAAUUCAGCAGGCCACCACUGAGCUGGAUGACCCUUUAACCUUACAGCUGUGCAACCCUCCAGUCUGCUGUCAUGAGAUUUUCUCAUGCUCAUGAGGCGCAAACUUCCUGCUUCUUUUAUGGAAUCCUCAAGAGUUUCACCAAGACAAAUUCACUUUGACAUUAGAUGAAACUACUUUAUACCUCUGGGCAUCCAAAGGAUACUCCCCACCCCCUUCCCAGCUAGGAAGAGAGAGGUGAGAAAACUUCGUGAGAGAUUGUAGGAGCCAGAGGAACAGGGAGUUUGGUGUGAGACUGUGUCUCCUAGGAACAUCGGAAGCUACAUCUAAAAAACUACAGGCAGCUAAGAGUCGAAAGCUGGAGAAAUCCCCUUCUUUAGGAGAGAGCACAGGAAUUGGUUAUCCAAUACAAAAUGAUCAGCCCUGAAAAUGCAUAAAGCUUUGACGUUGAAUCAGCUGUAUUUUCGAAGGCUGCAAUUACAAAACCCAAUGGGAUACAGGAGUCCACAUGAAGGAAGAAACAAGGUUUGGUUUUGAGAUUUGAAUAGCUGUGCAGUAUCCAAAGUGGAGCAUACAAAUCAAUCUGUUAGUAAAAACGGAGUAUUUAAGGGCAAAUCUAAAGAAGAUCGUUCCAGUGUCUAUGCACAGGAACAUGUGUUUAUCUAGCCAUAUGGAAAAAAUUACUCAGGCAUCUAAUAUCUGGUUGAGAAGCUUAAAAAUGCCAUCAACUGAGUGGUUUAUUUAAAAUAAAAAAUCAGUUUUUGUCUCC